rnacentral:snRNA from 1 species
UUUAUAAUUUAACAAGUAU